rnacentral:rRNA from 1 species
AUUGAACGCUGGCGGCAGGCCUAACACAUGCAAGUCGAACGAGUGGCGGACGGGUGAGUAAUGUCUGGGAAACUGCCUGAUGGAGGGGGAUAACUACUGGAAACGGUAGCUAAUACCGCAUACCAUCGGAUGUGCCCAGAUGGGAUUAGCUUGUUGGUGGGGUAACGGCUCACCACGGCGCCGAUCCCUAGCUGGUCUGAGAGGAUGACCAGCCACACUGGAACGGAGACACGGUCCAGAUUCCUACGGGAGGCAGCAUUGGGGAAGAUUGCACGAUGGGGGUCAGCCGGAUGCAGCCAUGCCGGGUGUAUGCAGAAGGCCUUCGGGUUGUAAAGUACUUUCGGCGGGGAGGCGUUACCCGCAGAAGAAGCACCGUCUAACUCCGUGCCAGCAGCCGCGGUAAUUC